rnacentral:rRNA from 1 species
AUUGAACGCUGGCGGUAUGCUUAACACAUGCAAGUCGAACGGUAACAGGCCUUCGGGCGCUGACGAGUGGCGGACGGUGAGUAACGCGUAGGAAUCUGCCUCAUAGUGGGGACAACGUGGGGAAACUCACGCUAAUACCGCAUACGCCCUACGGGGAAAGCGGGGAGUCUUCGGACCUCGCGCUAUGAGAUGAGCCUGCGUUAGAUUAGCUAGUUGGUAGGGUAAAGGCCUACCAAGGCGACGAUCUAUAGCUGGUCUGAGAGGACGAUCAGCCACACUGGGACUGAGACACGGCCCAGACUCCUACGGGAGGCAGCAGUGGGGAAUAUUGGACAAUGGGCGCAAGCCUGAUCCAGCAAUACCGCGUGUGUGAAGAAGGCCUUAGGUUGUAAAGCACUUUCAAUUGGGAGGAAAACCUGCCGGUCAAUACCCGUAGCUUGACAUUACC